rnacentral:rRNA from 1 species
UGGGGAAUUUUGGACAAUGGGCGCAAGCCUGAUCCAGCAAUGCCGCGUGUGUGAAGAAGGCCUUCGGGUUGUAAAGCACUUUUGUCCGGAAAGAAAUCCGUCUGGCUAAUACCCGGACGGGAUGACGGUACCGGAAGAAUAAGCACCGGCUAACUACGUGCCAGCAGCCGCGGUGAUACGUAGGGUGCGAGCGUUAAUCGGAAUUACUGGGCGUAAAGCGUGCGCAGGCGGCUUUGUAAGACAGAUGUGAAAUCCCCGGGCUCAACCUGGGAACUGCAUUUGUGACUGCAAGGCUAGAGUGCGUCAGAGGGAGGUGGAAUUCCGCGUGUAGCAGUGAAAUGCGUAGAGAUGCGGAGGAACACCGAUGGCGAAGGCAGCCUCCUGGGAUGACACUGACGCUCAUGCACGAAAGCGUGGGGAGCAAACA